UUAAUUGAAGAGUUUGAUCAUGGCUCAGAUUGAACGCUGGCGGCAGGCCUAACACAUGCAAGUCGAGCGGUAACAGGGGAAGCUUGCUUCUCGCUGACGAGCGGCGGACGGGUGAGUAAUGUAUGGGGAUCUGCCCGAUAGAGGGGGAUAACCACUGGAAACGGUGGCUAA
rnacentral:rRNA from 1 species